CCUACGGGAGGCUGCAGUGGGGAAUAUUGGACAAUGGGCGAAAGCCUGAUCCAGCCAUGCCGCGUGUGUGAAGAAGGCCUUCGGGUUGUAAAGCACUUUCAUUGGGGAAGAAAGCCUUGGGGCUAAUACCCUCGAGGAAGGACAUCACCCACAGAAGAAGCACCGGCUAACUCCGUGCCAGCAGCCGCGGUAAUACGGAGGGUGCGAGCGUUAAUCGGAAUUACUGGGCGUAAAGCGCGCGUAGGCGGUCUGAUAAGCCGGUUGUGAAAGCCCCGGGCUCAACCUGGGAACGGCAUCCGGAACUGUCAGGCUAGAGUGCAGGAGAGGAAGGUAGAAUUCCCGGUGUAGCGGUGAAAUGCGUAGAGAUCGGGAGGAAUACCAGUGGCGAAGGCGGCCUUCUGGACUGACACUGACGCUGAGGUGCGAAAGCGUGGGUAGCAAACAGGAUUAGAUACCCGAGUAGUC
rnacentral:rRNA from 1 species